CCUCUCCUCCCAUAUCUCCAUAUCCAUCUCCAUCUGCAUAACUCUUUCCUCUCUUCCAAUCCCUGAGCUCUUUCAUUGUGAAGAACGUCAUCUCUCUUUCAGCUGUAAAACCAACAGACAUGUAUAAUCUUUGGCGUAAUCCUAGGAUUUAGAGAUUUUGAUUUCUAGGGUAUUAGCUGAUUUUAUUCAUCCAGUUUAUCGAUUUAAGUUUAAGUUUAUCGAAUCCUAGGGUUUCAUUUAAGUUUAUAGAUUUUAGGGUUUAAUCUUUGAUUUCAGUUUUUUUCGGUUUCAGUUUUUCAGUUUCUUCUUUCUCUUUCGGUUGUAGGGUUUCAUAGAUUAGAUUAGAUUGAAGAAAAGAGAUGUCGAAGAGGAAGAAUAAUAAGAAGAGUAUAAGUUUGAUAAGAACAGUGAUAUCAUGUACAAUCUUUGUGAUUUCAAGUGCAACUCUUAUUUCUGUUCAUCUUCAUAUCUUUCUCUAUUCUAAAGUUACUGUCUUCUCUGAUUCUACUGCUUACAAGCUCCCAUCGCAACAUGAAAUCGGGCAUCAUGGGAUAUCGACAGUUCAUGUUUUCACUCCUUUACAUUUGACAGUUGAAUGCUGCAAAUCGGAAUGGGGAUAUCGACAAGCUAUGGAAGGCUCCACCGAACAAGGAUUUUGUGCCCUGUGCUGAUCCCAGUUCGGAGUAUUCACUUCCCAGGGAGUCGCGUGGUUAUUUGCCUGUUCAUACAAAUGGUGGGUUCAAUCAGAUGAGAGUUGGGGUCUUGGUGAUGCACAUGCACUUGUAUAAUAUGUUAUGUGUUGAGAUAGGAGUUAAGAUUGUGGCUAUGUUAUCAAUCUUCUGAAAACUAUAAGCAUACACUUCAUUGGUAUAUAGAUUGAGUUGGCUUUUAUCAAUCAGUAUUUUUGAUUUGCUAUUUGA